GUUUACAAGAUUAUUAAGUGAUAAUUUCUUUGUCAAAAAUCUAAAUGAUAAUGUUUUAAGACGCAUAUCAUUAUUUGUUUUGACACCAGCGAUGAAUACAAAGGAGACGUAUCAUUAGCAGUGUUAAUGUCCACGUUAAAUUUUAUUAUGAGGAAGAAAUGUGUAACGCGGUUUAGGAACCGCAAUCAUGAUAAUUACUUAUUACAAACUGCAAAUGACUAAAGUUUAAUAUGCUAUAUUGACCAUUGUAAAGUUUAGCUGAAUUAUAGAUCUGAAAACAGUUCAGAUACAAUCCCACAUGGACACCAGCAAUACAACGCAGUGUGACUAACACGAUACUACUAAAC
rnacentral:lncRNA from 1 species